GCGGAUGUGGCGUAAUUGGUAGCCGCGCUAGACUUAGGAUCUAGUACUGAGAGGUGUGUGGGUUCGAGUCCCGUCAUCCGCA
rnacentral:tRNA from 2 species